CACGAAAUUAUACGAGCUAAUUUUGGUAAACAAUUAUGUGGCAUAAUAUUUAAUUAACCAAAAUUAGGGGUGACAGGCUUCCCAAGUAUAACGAUAUCUUGAUUCCUUUGAAAUGUACAAGUACAACUAUAAAUUUAGAGCUAUAAGGUUUUAAAUUCGGAUUAACUUAAGAUGAGAUUUUAAAUAUAGUUAUAAUAGACUGUACAUACAACAAAUUACUAUUACUGGCUUGCGCUUAUUUUGUUUAAGAGGAUGUGUUAUAAUAAUUAUAAACAUCAAUAUUGUUAGCAUGAGUACUAAGAAGUUAUUAAUAGUGAACUCGGCAACAAAGUUUUCAACUGUUUACCAAAAACAUAGCCACAUGUAUUUACAUGUGGUAUUUUCUGCUCAAUGAAGUAUUAAAUAGCCGCAGUACCCUGACUGUGCAAAGGUAGCAUAAUCAUUUGGCUUAUAAUUAAAGUCGUGCAUGAAGGAAUAUAUGGGGACUUUCUUUACCAUUAAUAAAAGUAGAAUUUACUUAGCGAGUGCAAAUGCUCGCCGAUUAAUAAUAGACGAGAAGACCCUAGAAAUUUAUCAGUAAUUUUGUUGGGGCAACAUAGUAACAAAUAACUUACUUUAUGUAUAUGAAAUAAUUUAGAAAACUUAAAUUACUCUAGGGAUAACAGCAUAAUCUAUUAAUGUUUGUGACCUCGAUGUUGGAUUAGGGUGUUGAAGUUUAAAA
rnacentral:rRNA from 1 species